ACUACGUGAUGCAGCAGUGAGGAAUAUUGGUCAAUGGACGAGAGUCUGAACCAGCCAAGUAGCGUGAAGGAUGACUGCCCUCUGGGUUGUAAACUUCUUUUAUAUGGGAAUAAAAUGUUCCCCGUGUGGGAUUUUGUAUGUACCAUAUGAAUAAGGAUCGGCUAACUCCGUGCCAGCAGCCGCGGUAAUACGGAGGAUCCGAGCGUUAUCCGGAUUUAUUGGGUUUAAAGGGAGCGUAGGUGGAUUGUUAAGUCAGUUGUGAAAGUUUGCGGCUCAACCGUAAAAUUGCAGUUGAAACUGGCAGUCUUGAGGACAGUAGAGGUGUGCGGAAUGCGUGGUGUAGCGGUGAAAUGCUUAGAUAUCACGAAGAACUCCGAUUGCGAAGGCAGUUCACUGGACUGCAACUGACACUGAGGCUCGAAAGUGUGGGUAUCAAACAGGAUUAGAUACCCGAGUAGUC
rnacentral:rRNA from 1 species